rnacentral:rRNA from 1 species
AGUGAACGCUGGCGGUAGGCCUAACACAUGCAAGUCGAACGGCCGCACAGUAAGAGCUUGCUCUUACGGGUGGCGAGUGGCGGACGGGUGAGGAAUACAUCGGAAUCUACUUUUUCGUGGGGGAUAACGUAGGGAAACUUACGCUAAUACCGCAUACGACCUACGGGUUAAAGCAGGGGAUCUUCGGACCUUGCCCGAUUGAAUGAGCCGAUGUCGGAUUAGCUAGUUGGCGGGGUAAAGGCCCACCAAGGCGACGAUCCGUAGCUGGUCUGAGAGGAUGAUCAGCCACACUGGAACUGAGACACGGUCCAGACUCCUACGGGAGGCAGCAGUGGGGAAUAUUGGACAAUGGGCGCAAGCCUGAUCCAGCCAUACCGCGUGGGUGAAGAAGGCCUUCGGGUUGUAAAGCCCUUUUGUUGGGAAAGAAAAGCAGCAGGUUAAUACCCCGCUGUUCUGACGGUACCCAAAGAAUAAGCACCGGCUAACUUCGUG